CACGUAGUUAGCCGUGGCUUCCUCCUUGAGUACCGUCAUUAUCGUCCUCAAAGACAGAGGUUUACGAUCCGAAGACCUUCUUCCCUCACGCGGCGUUGCUCCGUCAGGCUUUCGCCCAUUGCGGAAAAUUCCCUACUGCUGCCUCCCGUAGGAGUCUGGGCCGUGUCUCAGUCCCAGUGUGGCCGGUCACCCUCUCAGGUCGGCUACCCAUCGUCGCCUUGGUGGGCCGUUACCUCACCAACUAGCUAAUGGGACGCGGGCCAAUCUUCUAGCGUUCCCUUUCCUCUCUUAGAGAUGUCUCUAUAAGAGCAUAUCCGGUCUUAGCAGUCCUUUCGAACUGUUGUCCCAGACUAGAAGGCAUGUUGCCCACGCGUUACUCACCCGUCCGCCGCUCAUGUACGGGUCAAGGUUUAACCCUUGCCCCGUACAUUCGCUCGACUUGCAUGUAUUAAGCACGCCGCCAGCGUGUCCUGAGCCAGGACGUCAACUAC
rnacentral:rRNA from 1 species